UACAGAGGGUGCAAGCGUUGUUCGGAAUUAUUGGGCGUAAAAGCGCGUGUAGGCGGCUUUUGCAAGUCGGGGUGUGAAAAGCCCCUCAGCUCAACUGAGGAAAGUGCGCCCCGAAAACUGCAGAGCUUGAGUGCCGGAGAGGGGUGGGCGGAAAUUUCCCCCAAGUAGAGGUGAAAAAUUUCGUAGAUAUGGGGGAGGGAACACCGGUGGGCGAAGGCGGCCCACCCUGGGACGGGUAAACUGACGCUGAGACGCGAAAGCGUGGGGGAGCAAACAGG
rnacentral:rRNA from 1 species